GAUCAAUCCAAUAUGUUAAAAAAAUCUCUUUUGAACAUAAAAUUUGUCAUUAUGGCAUGUCAAAAAAAGAUCACCUUAAAUGUGAUUAUUGUAGAAAGCCUAGACAAAUUAAAAGAACUAUUGGAAGCUUCAUGGUAAACAAAUUAGGGGGUCAUGGUAAGUGAAUGGACUCUUUAAGAUCACAAGCUCAUGUGUUAGAGAUUGUAGAGGCAAGUGAACACACCCAUACAAGAGGACUUUCCAAUGAGGAGUUGCAAACGUUAAGAUAACUUGUAUCUCAACUUUAUUUUUCUUCAACCAUGGCUUCCACCAAUUUUGCUAACUCAGGCAAAGAUGAGGUUUAUAUAAAAUAUGAGUCUUUAUCCCCCCAUAAUUGGAAAAGGUUCUAUCAAUUGUACUUUUUUAAUGAAUCUGUCAUCAACACUUCAUAUUCCUAGUUUUCAAUAUAAUCUUACCUAUUAGUGCGUUCAUAAGAUAUAUUAAUUUUAAAGUUGAAUUAUAUCCUUCCCAUUGUAUUUGUUAGGAUCUAAGCACAGGGAAAAUGAUUGGCUAUGGCAGAAUGCAAAAUAGAUUAUAUUUGCUAGAAGGUUGUAAUAUUUGCUAGAAGUUGUACCUCUCUAUUCUCAUCUAGAAACAGAGCAUUGUUAAGAGACUUUAUGAUUGGUAAUCGACAAUUAUUUUGGUCACAUAAACGAAUAGGACACCUAUCCUUUUCUAUUUUAGAAAGAAUGAAUCCUAAUUUCCAAUCUCAGUUGGAUUAUACCAUGGUUCAGCUGUGAGCCCUUGCCAUUUUACAUUAGUUCUAGAUGAAU
rnacentral:misc_RNA from 1 species